CUGACCUCAAAUCAGGUAGGAUUACCCGCCGAACUUAAGCAUAUCAAUAAGCGGAGGAAAAGAAACUAACGAGGAUUCCCCUAGUAACGGCGAGUGAAGCGGGAAGAGCUCAAAUUUGUAAUCUGGCGGCCCAUGGCCGUCCGAGUUGUAGUCUGGAGAAGCGUUUUCCGCUUCGGACCGUGUACAAGUCCCUUGGAACAGGGCGUCAUGGAGGGUGAGAACCCCGUCUCUGACACGGACUGCCGAAGCUUUUGCGAUGCGCUCUCGAAGAGUCGAGUUGUUUGGGAAUGCAGCUCAAAACGGGUGGUAAAUUCCAUCUAAAGCUAAAUAUUGGCAAAAGACCGAUAGCGAACAAGUACCGUGAGGGAAAGAUGAAAAGCACUUUGGAAAGAGAGUUAAACAGUACGUGAAAUUGUCGAAAGGGAAACGCUUGAAGUCAGUCGCGUCUCUCGGGAUUCAGCCUUGCAUUUAUUUGCCUGGUGUAUUUCUCGGGGCGACGGGCCAGCGUCGAUUUCGACCGUUGGAAAAGGGCUUUGGGAAUGUGGCACCUUCGGGUGUGUUAUAGCCCUCGGUCGCAUGC
rnacentral:rRNA from 1 species